rnacentral:lncRNA from 1 species
AUUAUUUUCUAAAAUAUUAUCUGAACAGCCAAAGUAGUGCGCGAAAUUAAACUAAGUGGCUGUGGAGGUUAAUAAUUAAAUUAAGGGUUUUUUUUGCAUUUGGCCUCUAAAAGAAAUUUAUUUUAAAAAUAGCUCCAACAAAUUUAUAUUUGCAAAAAUGACCCUACCCCUGCCACGCAGGCGCCACGUCAACGCUACGUGGGCUGGACUGGGACCAGUUUAUUAAGUUAAACACGGUGAAUCAUUUACCGUGUCUAAACACGGUGAAUGUUCACCGUGUUUGGAAAAACCAUAAUAUAUAUGCAUUGCGAAAAAAUAUAAGAAAAAUAAAAAGGAGAAGGAGGGGAAUAUAGGUAUGAAACACGGUGAAUGAUUCACCGUGUUCAACUUAAAACUAUGGCGCUAACGUGGCGCCUGCGUGGCGAAAAUAGAACCAAAUUUAUAAUUAUAAAUUUGAUUGAGCUAUUUAUAAAAAAAAAUAUAUUUUGAGAAAGCCAGAUACAAAAAAAAAAAAGAAAAAAAAAAGCCCCUAAAUUAAUUAGCAGGGCGGUUCGUUCUGUUUUGUUUUGUUUUGUUUUGUUUUAUUUUAUUUCGUGGAAGGCAAAAGCAUGCCGGGCCAGUGGUGGGGG